rnacentral:lncRNA from 1 species
UCAAAACCCUUUCCUAAGUUAAAACCUUUUAAUCUCUUAAACCGAUUGAAUAACCGCGGAAGCGAUGUCAGAAUGUUAAUUCAUAUGUCAUAACCCUCAAUUUUCUAUCUCUAGGUUCCUAUGUUGAAUUAAACAGAAUUACUAUUUCAGGAUUAAAAGCUAGGGUUAGUAGUCAUUCAAUUCCUAAGAUCAAUUUAUGUGAUUGCAAGAAGCUAGGGUUAAUAGUCAUGCAAGCAAUCAUAUGAAAAGCAAUGAACACAAAUAAUUCUGAAUAAAGACUGAAUAAUAUUGAUAAUAAAGAGAGUUUCAACUACAUUCAUAUAUUACAAUAGGUUCAUCAUGGCUCAAUCAAAGAGAAUUAGCUAGACAUGAUUAAAUAAAUAAACAACAUAGUAAGAAAAUAAAUCGAUAGAGUUUCGUCGAUGUCGGCGUUGCUCCUCAAUCUUCUUUCAAUCUGUGUUGUUUUCUCUCUCCCCUGUAGCGUCCCUUUUCCAAAACGUAAAUCCUAUAUUUAUUUCUUCCAAAAGUGUGAUCACCUUUCCUUGUUCCUGUACGUUUUCUCCUAUAAGCCCAUCAAUUAAUAUGUUGCUUUUUGUCACCUCUUGUUUUUCUCUUCUUUGAUUAUAUAAAUAUAACCAAUAAUAAUGAUAAUAACCUAUUAAUUCCAAUCAUUUGCUUGCUUGACUCAAUAGACCAAAAAUACCAUACUUUAUUUAAAUUGACUCUAAAUUAAAUACUAAACUAAUAAAACUAGACUAAAAACUUAUUAAAAAAAAACUUUAAAAAUAGUGAAUGACUGACUGUCAUCACAACCCCAAACUUGAACCAUUCCUUGUCCUCAAGGAUUUACUUGUAACAUUGACAAUUGACAGUAAAAUAACAAUUACCUGAUCAAGCGAUAGUACCCAAAAGUUCAACACCUUACUAGCUAAAGAUGAGCUAGUUUGACUUGUUAGCAACCACCAAUUCACAACUCCACGCAACAAUAUGAAAGGGUUCACACACAGUCGACAUGCAAUCUACAUAUUACCAUACGCUUGAAAAGUUUCUAAACGUCAAUCAAAAUCAAUGUCAAUGCACACUUUGAGGUCUUUAACGGUUAUAACGGGGCUUAGGUGAAGGUGAGAUAAUAUUUGGAUAAGUAGGCUACACAAAAUUUGAGUUAGGCAUUCCUACGGAAGUUAAGCACAAAAUUCAAUCCAUCAUUCAUUCACCUUUUGGAACAACAAUUCUUGCAAGGGUACUAGAAAUUAUUUAUAACAAUCGGGACAAUCGAGUUUGAAGUUACUCGGUUUUUCAAUGUCAUGUCCCUUUUUCAUUCUAUUAUAUUCUCUUUUUUUUUUUUUUGAACACACCAUUUUGGCAUAUUGUUUUCAUGAGAAUGUUUUUUUUUUCUUUGUUCUCUAGUACCCCACCCCAAACUUAAUUGGUUGCAAAUUCCAUUAGCAACCCCAAACUUAAUAUUUAGCAACAUUCUUCAAUGCCUAACUCAGAAAAACAAUAAGGGAUAAAUCCUAAAAGUCUCCAAGCUUGUAAUGUAGUUUGUCACCGAACAAAAAGUUCUAAACCUACCGGCUCAAUUUGGCUAAAGAAAGGAUAAUUAUUCAAAUAUAAACAGGGUAGGCUUCAAAAAGGCUCACAGGACCAAGCACUUUUGCCUCAGUGUGCUAAUGACAAAGAUCAAUCGACAGUAGAGAAAAAUUGCAAGUUCUAGAAAUGUAAAUGCAUGGAACACUCUUUAGAAGUAAAUUAGAAAAUAAAAUUUGGCCAUGAACCUUACAGUUUAGAUUUCUGGGAGUUGUGACUACCUAUCCUUAACUGCAGUACACUUCGCCUUUGAAAUCACAAGUCACUCCUCCUUUUGAACUUUUGGAAUACCACUUGAACACAUAUUUGUUACUAAACUGGAAAAAGUCAAUAAAACAAGAAAAUUCAUCAAUAAUAAACAAGUGCAAGAACAAUUACAUAACAGGGGGAUACAACUGAGUUAUUCAAACACACUGACAAUUGCCUGACUCAACAAUAGGAAUAAAAUACUGAAAAUAAAAACAUAAUAAAAAUGAUGGGUUGCCUCCCAUCAAGCGCUUUAUUUUACGUCAUUGAGCUUGACGCUCCAACCACUGUUAGGGUGGCAAAUAUGAUAGAAAGAAUAUAUCAUCCUUCUUCUUCCUCUUGUUUGGUAGGAAUUCCAUGAAUUUGGCACAAAGCAGUAGAUGCUCCCAUGCUCCAGCCACUAAAUCUUUGUCAUUUGAGCUCUCCCACCUUAAAGAAGGACAUGCAUCUAUUUGCACAAGAGUGAUUUCCUUAACCCCCGUUGAUCCAGACUUCGAGAAAAUAUCAACACUCCUCACUUUGGAAUUUUCUUCUACCACAACCUUGUGACACACAGUCUCCAUCUGAACCAACUUCCUCUGAGACUCAUGUGCUUUCUCAACAAGAUUACCACACUGAACAUCAAACUUCUCAAAUAAAACUUGAUUUGACACCAAGAAAUCAUCUAAAAUAUUUUGAAGUUGAGUAUUGUAACCGAUGUUGAUCAUCUCUUUCUUCUCUUCACAAUUACUACCUGGUUGAUCCCCCUCAUAACGACCACAUCUCUCAUUUAAUCUUGAGAUUUUAUUGUCAAAAUAUCCUAUCUUCAAAGAUAGCAUAUAUUUUUCAUACUUCAACAUACCAAUCUCUUUUGUGUCAUGGAGGUAUAACCUGUCUAUCAUAGCUGCAACACUUGAAUAAACUUUUUAGUAGCACAGUACAAUGAGAAGAAAAAGAAGAGCAUAAAUCAUUUUUUUUUUAUAAACAAAAAUAUAAAUGACAGAAAUCCUAAAUAAAAACAAAAUUACCAAAUUGAAAUGACUCAACAGUCCCCGGCAGCAGCGCCAAAAACUUGAUAAAAUUUUAGCAAGUGUACUAAAACUAUCGAAGUAAUAAAAUAAAUUCGUAUCCACGAGGACUGUGUUAAUCUCAACUUAGCAAUAAAGUUAAUAUCUAGGAUGUGUAAAUUUUAUAAGUGUCUGAGGCAGUAGAUUAGGGUGCAAUAAAAAGUAAAUAAUAGGAAAUAAAAUGGUUUGAUGAUUGGAUUAAAACAGAUGAUCAAGCCAGUGAAUCCUCUAUUGCUUUAUGUGAAAUAGCUUAUCUCUCUUUACUCUCAACACUUAUUCAAUCUUUACGACAAAUUAACUAAUUAGUUUUGAUCAAUCUCUUGACUCAAAACCCUUUCCUAAGUUAAAACAUUUUAAUCUCUUAAACCGAUUGAAUAACCGCGGAAGCGAUGUCAGAAUGUUAAUUCAUAUGUCAUAACCCUCAAUUUCCUAUCUCUAGGUUCCUAUGUUGAAUUAAACAGAAUUACUAUUUCAGGAUUAAAAGCUAGGGUUAGUAGUCAUUCAAUUCCUAAGAUCAAUUUAUGUGAUUGCAAGAAGCUAGGGUUAAUAGUCAUGCAAGCAAUCAUAUGAAAAACAAUGAACACAAAUAAUUCUGAAUAAAGACUGAAUAAUAUUGAUAAUAAAGAGAGUUUCAACUACAUUCAUAUAUUACAAUAGGUUCAUCAUGGCUCAAUCAAAGAGAAUUAGCUAGACAUGAUUAAAUAAAUAAACAACAUAGUAAGAAAAUAAACCGAUAGAGUUUCGUCGAUGUCGGCGUUGCUCCUCAAUCUUCUUUCAAUCUGUGUUGUUUUCUCUCCCCUGUAGCGUCCCUUUUCCAAAACGUAAAUCCUAUAUUUAUUUCUUCCAAAAGUGUGAUCACCUUUCCUUGUUCCUGUACGUUUUCUCCUAUAAGCCCAUCAAUUAAUAUGUUGCUUUUUGUCACCUCUUGUUUUUCUCUUCUUUGAUUAUAUAAAUAUAACCAAUAAUAAUGAUAAUAACCUAUUAAUUCCAAUCAUUUGCUUGCUUGACUCAAUAGACCAAAAAUACCAUACUUUAUUUAAAUUGACUCUAAAUUAAAUACUAAACUAAUAAAACUAGACUAAAAACUUAUUAAAAAAAAACUUUAAAAAUAGUGAAUGACUGACUGUCAU